rnacentral:rRNA from 1 species
GUCCACGCCCUAAACUAUGCCAACUAGUUGUUUGGGAAGGAGACUUCCUUAGUAACGAAGCUAACGCGUGAAGUUGGCCGCCUGGGGAGUACGGUCGCAAGAUUAAAACUCAAAGGAAUUGACGGGGACCCGCACAAGCGGUGGAUGAUGUGGAUUAAUUCGAUGCAACGCGAAAAACCUUACCUACCCUUGACAUGUCAGGAAGUCUGCUGAGAGGUGGAUGUGCCCGAAAGGGAACCUGAACACAGGUGCUGCAUGGCUGUCGU